GACGAACGCUGGCGGCGUGCUUAACACAUGCAAGUCGAACGGAAAGGCCCUGCUUUUGUGGGGUGCUCGAGUGGCGAACGGGUGAGUAACACAUGAGUAACCUGCCCUUGACUUUGGGAUAACUUCAGGAAACUGGGGCUAAUACCGGAUAGGAGCUCCUGCUGCAUGGUGGGGGUUGGAAAGUUUCGGCGGUUGGGGAUGGACUCGCGGCUUAUGAGCUUGUUGGUGGGGUAGUGGCUUACCAAGGGUUUGACGGGUAGCCGGCCUGAGAGGGGGACCGGCCACAUGGGGACUGCGAGACGGAGCAGACUCCAACGGGAGGCAGCAGGGGGGAAUAUGGCACAAUGGGCGGAAGCCUGAUGCAGCGACGCCGCGUGCGGGAUGACGGCCUUCGGGUGGUAAACCGCUUUCGCCUGUGACGAAGCGGGAGUGACGGUAAUGGGUAAAGAAGCACCGGCUAACUACGUG
rnacentral:rRNA from 1 species